rnacentral:rRNA from 1 species
CAGGCUUAACACAUGCAAGUCGAGGGGCAUCAGGAAGAAAGCUUGCUUUCUUUGCUGGCGACCGGCGCACGGGUGAGUAACACGUAUCCAACCUGCCCUUUACUCGGGGAUAGCCUUUCGAAAGAAAGAUUAAUACCCGAUAGCAUAAUGAUUCCGCAUGGUUUCAUUAUUAAAGGAUUCCGGUAAAGGAUGGGGAUGCGUUCCAUUAGGUUGUUGGUGAGGUAACGGCUCACCAAGCCUUCGAUGGAUAGGGGUUCUGAGAGGAAGGUCCCCCACAUUGGAACUGAGACACGGUCCAAACUCCUACGGGAGGCAGCAGUGAGGAAUAUUGGUCAAUGGGCGCUAGCCUGAACCAGCCAAGUAGCGUGAAGGAUGAAGGCUCUAUGGGUCGUAAACUUCUUUUAUAUAAGAAUAAAGUGCAGUAUGUAUACUGUUUUGUAUGUAUUAUAUGAAUAAGGAUCGGCUAACUCCGUGCCAGCAGCCGCGGUAAUACGGAGGAUCCGAGCGUUAUCCGGAUUUAUUGGGUUUAAAGGGAGCGUAGGUGGACUGGUAAGUCAGUUGUGAAAGUUUGCGGCUCAACCGUAAAAUUGCAGUUGAUACUGUCAGUCUUGAGUACAGUAGAGGUGGGCGGAAUUCGUGGUGUAGCGGUGAAAUGCUUAGAUAUCACGAAGAACUCCGAUUGCGAAGGCAGCUCACUGGACUGCAACUGACACUGAUGCUCGAAAGUGUGGGUAUCAAACAGGAUUAGAUACCCUGGUAGUCCACACAGUAAACGAUGAAUACUCGCUGUUUGCGAUAUACAGUAAGCGGCCAAGCGAAAGCAUUAAGUAUUCCACCUGGGGAGUACGCCGGCAACGGUGAAACUCAAAGGAAUUGACGGGGGCCCGCACAAGCGGAGGAACAUGUGGUUUAAUUCGAUGAUACGCGAGGAACCUUACCCGGGCUUAAAUUGCAGUGGAAUGAUGUGGAAACAUGUCAGUGAGCAAUCACCGCUGUGAAGGUGCUGCAUGGUUGUCGUCAGCUCGUGCCGUGAGGUGUCGGCUUAAGUGCCAUAACGAGCGCAACCCUUAUCUUCAGUUACUAACAGGUCAUGCUGAGGACUCUGGAGAGACUGCCGUCGUAAGAUGUGAGGAAGGUGGGGAUGACGUCAAAUCAGCACGGCCCUUACGUCCGGGGCUACACACGUGUUACAAUGGGGGGUACAGAAGGCAGCUAGCGGGUGACCGUAUGCUAAUCCCAAAAGCCUCUCUCAGUUCGGAUCGAAGUCUGCAACCCGACUUCGUGAAGCUGGAUUCGCUAGUAAUCGCGCAUCAGCCACGGCGCGGUGAAUACGUUCCCGGGCCUUGUACACACCGCCCGUCAAGCCAUGGGAGCCGGGGGUACCUGAAGUACGUAACCGCAAGGAUCGUCCUAGGGUAAAACUGGUGACUGGGGCUAAGUCAUAACAAG